rnacentral:rRNA from 1 species
CUACCGGGGUAUCUAAUCCUGUUUGCUCCCCACGCUUUCGCGCCUCAGUGUCAGUUACAGGCCAAAAAGCCGCCUUCGCCACUGGUGUUCCUCCUAAUCUCUACGCAUUUCACCGCUACACUAGGAAUUCCACUUUUCUCUCCUGCACUCAAGUUUAACAGUUUCCAAUGACCCUCCACGGUUGAGCCGUGGGCUUUCACAUCAGACUUAUUAAACCACCUGCGCGCGCUUUACGCCCAAUAAUUCCGGACAACGCUUGCCACCUACGUAUUACCGCGGCUGCUGGCAC